UGUUGUUUUUCUCCUGUCUGGCAGGUUACUUGAUUGGAUUGCCUGGGGAGCCUGGCCAGUCUUUUGUAAUGAUAAAUACUUAGUUCCUGGGCCAGGUCACAGGCUCACACCCUAUUCAUAUACAGACAUACCCUUAAGACAGGAUUUGUGAAGGAAAAGACAAUGGGGAGGAUUUUCCUUUGACCUUGCAGAGAAAUCAUUUGGUCAGUUUGGGAAUCAAAAUGGUUCCAGGUCGGUCUUCCUGUGCUGAUCUAUGUAUGUGCUUGGUUGAUACGCUUAUGAACAUUACCAUAUAUCUAAGACCUCAAAAUUCCUAUCACAACCCACUGGUUAAGAUAAAGUUGCCCCUCACCUUUAGCACUGCAGCAAUGCAUCUCUCCCAAUUAGGGCUACGAUUUAUAUUUCAUAAGAAGAAAAUCUAUUCUUUUUAAAAAAAAAACCAAAAAGCACACCGUCAGUGCUAACUGCUGAAGCAGAACUUAAAAACGAAACGAAAACGACAAAGUGGAAAUCCCCCAAACACAGUUUGCCACCUGUUUUACAGGCUAUGCCUUUAGCAGCAGCUUCAACCUUAGCAAGUAACCAAAAGAUGGGGAACCCUCCAGAUGUCAUUGAACUCCCAUCAGCCCUGGCCAUUGUCUAAGGAUGACAGGAACGGGAGCCCAGCCACAUCUGGGGAGCCUCAGGUUUCCUGCCCCUGAAAUAAACCUUUCCCACUAUUUUAUUCCCAUAUCAAGAACAGCCUUGCCUGUUUAAUUUCUGUGUGCCAAGCUGCUGUUAAAAGGCACAGGGGCAGAAGAGGGUGGUCAGGUGUAAAAAGCUGGGAUUUCAACAGGUGAACUUUGCAUGACAAGCAACACCUGUUUAAAUUCCCUUUUCUACACCAAUUAUUAAAUGUUCAGGAGCCCUGUCAUUCAUAGAUACAUAGAUAGAUAGAUGAUAGAUAGAUAGAUAGAUAGAUAGAUAGAUAGAUAGAUAGAUAGAUAUGUACAGACACACACCCACAUAUCUUAUUCAUCCACCCUAGGGGCAGAGGAAGAAAAUGAAAAUGGCAACCCUAGCGAUGACUGUUCAUCAUGAUGAUGAUGAUAAUGAUGAUUUAUUAGUAAUACCCCGCCACUCUGGGUGGCUCCCAACAGAAUAAAAAAGUGAUAAAUUAUCAAACAUUAAAUACUUCCCUAAACAGGGCUGCCUCCAGAUGUCUUCUAAAAGUCAGAUAGUUGUUUAUUUCCUUGACAUCUGAUGGGAGGGCGUUUCACAGGGUGGGCGCCACUACCGAGAAGGCCCUCUGCCUGGUUCCCGGCAACCUCACUUCUUGCAAAGAGGGAACCACCAGAAGGCCCUCAGAGUUGGACCUCAGUGUCCAGGCUGAACGAUAGGGUGGAGACGCUCCUUCAGGUAUACUGGGCCCAGGCCGUUUAAGGCUUUAAAGGAUAGCACCAACACUUUGAAUUAUGCUCGGAAACGUACUGAUAUUCUUGUAUCUGAGGCAGUCCUUAAUGCCCAAUCACUUUCUAAAAUACUCAAAAUGCUAGACAUAAUUUCAAAAGUAGUAGUGAUAUAAUGCUCUCUUUUUUAGUCAGCCUGUUACCACUCCUUGCCAAGUGGGAGAAUGGGAAGUCUCAAGUGAGAUGGCUCAAUUAAACCUCCAUGUUCAGAGGCAGUUUGCCAUUGAAGACAAAAGGUUGGGAACAGCGACACACCCUGUUUGUGAGUUCCCCAAAGGCACCUCUCUGGCCACAGGCAGGGCAGAACGAAUGCUUGGCUAAAGGAGCUUUUGAUCUGACCAGAAGCGCCUUUCUCGUAUUCCUAAGGACAAUGUCAGGUUAUGUCUUUCGUUAUCAUUUUGAUAUUUGGUAUCUGAUUCAACCUGUCUUCUGCUCUUGUGCUUUCAUCUGCUGAGCAAAGGUUUCCCUGAUGUGAUGGAGGGAUGAGGAAUUCCUUGUGGCUGAAGCAUCUGAUCUGUUGAGCAGCUGUUAAAAUGGUGAGGGUCCCUGGUAGGAUGGAGGGGGGAGGGGGAGGUUGCAAUUUGCCUGAUUUGCCUCUGAUUUGCCUAAUUGGAGCCCUGGAUAUUGUUGUAAACCAAAAUUGCCCUUUUCCCUUAUGGGGUAUCCAAGAGCCCAUAUAGGUUCCCUAUUGGUAGGAGAGAAUAACAGAGGCCAACCAGAGAAUAUUGAGAAGCAAAGCAGCUAGUAAGCUUGAUCUUUAUUGAUCUAUUGCAACAGGGUGCUCCCCUCACCCGCAGGAGAGGAGGAGGACCCAGAAAAAUGGCAUGCAAGGCCUUAUAAAGACUUUUGAAAUUGCCACCCUGUAGAUCAAGACCAACCCCAGAAACAUCAUACAUACAUCACAGAAGGGGUGUAACCUAAGACCACCCCUCAGAAACAUCACACCUACAUCACAGAAAUAAAACAGAAAUUUGAAUAUUGUUUUUCUCCUGUUGUUGUUUAUCUCCUGUCUGGCAGGUUACUUGAUUGGAUUGCCUGGGGAGCCUGGCCAUUCUUUUGUAGUGAUAAAUACUUAGUUCCUGGGCCAGGUCACAGGCUCACACCCUAUUCAAACACAGACAUACCCUUAAGACAGGAUUUGUGAAGGAAAAGACAAUGGGGAGGCUUUUCCACUUUGACCUUGCAGAGAAAACAUUUGCUCAGUUUAGGAAUCAAAAUGGCUUCAGGUCGGUCUUCCUGUGCUGAUCUAUGUACGUGCGGUUAUGAACAUUACCAUAUAUCUAAGACCUCAAAAUUCCUAUCACAAUA